AGAGUGGCACCAUUCUAGGCCAUCACACUGGGCAUGCAGCCUGUGACACAAGGUAGCAACCUGGUAUACCUGCUGGUGUGUACUCAUGAAUUAACAUCAUCUACUAGAAAGAACUCAGAUUAUUCAGGCAGAACUUGGGUUCCAAUGCUAGCUCCACCACUUACCACUUAUGUGGCUAUAUCACUCAUCAUCAAACUUCAGCUGUCUCAUCUGUGAAUGAAGGCUAAGAACUCCAGAGGACCGCUCCAAGAACCACAUCUAAUAACCUAUGAAAAUCAACAAAGACAGAGGCAGCUCCUUUCCUCCUCACUACAGCCAGAAAGAUCAGAAAUAAGACAAGGAGAUUUGUUUGCUCUCAGCAUUCCUAUUCAUUAUUGUACCAGAAGUUCUAGGAAGUGCAAUAAGGCAUGAAAAAGAAAUGAAAAGCAUCCAGAUUGGGAAGAAUUAAAAUACUUUAUUUGCAGUCAACAUUGAUAGAAAGAAUGUCCAAUGGAAUCUGCAAAAAUCUAUUAGAAUAUGUGAAUGAGCAAAGCAAGAUCUCAAAAUCUAAGGCCCUUCAGCCAGUCCUCUCUGCUUCCUGUUUCCCUGCGACAGGAGUCAGCAAACUAUGAUCCAUCUGCCAAAUCCAGCUCAUCACUUGGUUUUAUACAGCCGAAAAACUAAGAACAGCUUUUGCAUUUCAACAUGGCUGGGAGGAAAAAUUCAAAGAAAUUAUUUCAUGACAUCAAAAACAAAAUUUCAAAUUUCAACGUCCACAAAGAAAGUUUUACUCAAACACAGAUAUACUCAUUCAAUUCACAUUUAUCUGUGCCUACUUUUGCACUACAAUGACAGAGUUGAUUGGCUCCAACAGAGACCAUAUGGCCUUCAAAAUCUAAAAUAUUUAUUAUCUGGACCUUCACAGAAAAGGCUGCCGACCUGUACUCAGUGAUACGCCUUCCGCCUCUCAGCUUCCUGAGAUCCUCACGUCAGGCAUGCUCACUACCGCCUCUCCUUUAUUCAAGCCCCACCUACUCCCAAAAACCCAAUUCCAUUUCUCCCCCUUUUCCCAAUCCUAACCAUUAUCAGCAGCUUAUGUGGAAGUAGCUAAGCAAAACAUUACAUGUCAUCACACAGAUUGCGGUCUUGGGUUCCUGAUAGGGUGGCUGAUGACACAUUUCCAAUUUUUCAGAGCAAACUGGCAGACUAGGAGCUAAGAAGCAGUGCACAUCAUGUAGGGUACUGAGAAAAUUGUUCCCAUAAGCUAUGUGAGAAACGUCAGACCCCUGCCUGCAAUGUCAUCAUUUAAAUAUGUGCCAGUACAGGUGAAAGAAGAAUGCCUCUCCAGAAACCAACGCAAGACAACAGAAUUCCAAAAAGAAAUUAGGAAGAAAAAGCUGAAGAGGGGCAGAUGGCAAAAAUAAAAAAACCCGUGACUCCAACAAUUUAGAGACUCUCACAAACUGUAGUUAAUGGAAAACCGUGGAGACGCUAGUACGUAAAGGGGCAGUUACUCCUUUCCUAGAAGGCCAAAGCAGCUUGUGAAGAAGGACAGAGCAGGGCUUCAACCGCAACACCUCAGCCCAUCAGGUGUCCUGACUUCCUUAAGCUGGCACACUAAGCAAGGUGACACGCCUGCUGGCCUAAAACCCAUGGACCACUACCAUCCUUGCAGGCCAUUUUUUAACAAAUAAUGAAUAAGAGACCUGAUAUGUAUCUCUGUGACUAAAGUCCCAGAUAGGAAACCCUGACCUUUGGAAGACACGAUGUUUCAUGCCGAAUUUUUUUCAGCUUUACUCAGGUAUAAUUGGCAAGUAGAACUGCCAGAUGGAAGUGGACACUGUGAUCGAUAUUUGCACACAUGUAUAAUGAAAGGACUCCCAUUUAGUUACUUAACACAUCUAACACCUCACAUGAUCAUCCUUCUUUUUCUUUUCUGUCUCUUCCUUUUUUUGUUGGGGAGGGUGAAUCAUCUCCAAUUUAAAAUGGCGACCCAGAGAAAGCAGAAUUUUGGAAGGGUGCAGGUGUUGUUGAAGACAAGUUGGUAUUGUCCACAAGUUCCCAGUAAAAGGAAAACUCUCCGAAGAAUAGACUCUGGAAAACCUGCUUCUGUGAAGCAACACGGGAGUUUCUGGCUAAGCAUAAGCUUACUGUGUCCCCACAGAAAGGCAAGGCUCCUCCAGGGUAGUAAUACAGUCCAGGGCCAAAAUACAUCGUUUUGCUUUACAGUGCCUGGAUCCAGGAAGACAGGAGUCCUAGUUAGAUUCUGUGCUCUUUCUAGAUUCUGAGGACCCGCAGGGUACUGUGUGCAGUUCCAGAACAAGACUACAAGGAAAGAGUCUAAUAACCAGCCUGGCUCCAGUCCAGAAACAACUCUGGAAAGACUUUCAACUUGGUAAGCUGUUUGAAAAAAGAGCUUUUUUUUUUUUUUCCAGAAUUAAAAAAGGCAGAAUAGAACUAGUGAGUUGAAAGUUAUUGAGACAGAUUCUGGGGCAUCUAAUAAUCAAAGGUGCCCCUACAGCAAUUGAGCUGCCUGAAAAGUAGUUGGGUCUUGUGCCUCACUCACCGAAAGCAUUCUAGUGGGGCUAAAAAGACUGCUGCAACCAACCCCUGACAUCAGGUGAACUGCCAGGUUCUUGCACUCACCUUAGCUACAUAUCCAGACAGUCACCACAGUUCACCUCUAAAGGAUUCAGACAACAGUGAUAGAACUUCAGUUAUUUUAAAAAGCAUCAUAUUGUACUUCUGCAGGAAUUCUCCUAGCUUACUCUCAUUUGCCUGUUUCUUGAGGCAGCCUUUCUCAGGCCAACUAUCCCCCAUCACCUGACAUCUCCCAAGCUCACUUCUGACACAGCAUGGCCCAGUGGUUCAUCACUGAACAAACACCUAAACGCUAGACUGACAAUGAAUUAAAAAAAAAAAAAGUAGACAAAAAUAAAGAAAUCAAUAUAACUGCUAUUCAAAAAUUUAUCAUCUGUUUGAGAGGUAACAGGUCUU